rnacentral:rRNA from 1 species
UCGAGGAUAGUCUACAAUGGUCGAAAGAUUGAUAGUGCGACGCCGCGUGAACGAAGAAGCAUUUCGGUGUGUAAAGUUCUUUUCCAUGGGAGCAGGGGCCUGGUGGUUAACAGCGACCGGGUCUUGAUAUUACUAUGGGAAUAAGCCACGGCUAACUCCGUGCCAGCAGCCGCGGUAAUACGGGGGUGGCGAGCGUUGUCCGGAAUUACUAGGCGUAAAGGGCAGGUAGGCGGUUUUAUAAGUUAAUCGUUAAAGACCCGUGCUCACCAUGGGGAGGGCGGUUGAUACUGUAAGACUGGAAGCGAGUGGGGGAAGACGGAAUUCCUGGUGUAGCGGUGGAAUGCGCAGAUAUCAGGAGGAACACCGAAGGCGAAGGCAGUCUUCUACGCUUGUCUUGACGCUAAACUGCGAAGGUGCGGGUAUCAAACAGG